GCCAGCAUGGCUCAGUGGUUGAGCAUCAACCUAUGAACCAGAAGGUCACAGAUUUCAUUCCUGGUUGCUGGUU
rnacentral:tRNA from 1 species